rnacentral:rRNA from 1 species
UACAGGGGGGGGCAAGCGUUUGUUCGGAAUUACUGGGCGUAAAGGGUCUGUAGGUGGCCAACUAAGUCAGACGUGAAAUCCCUCAGCUUAACCGGGGAACUGCGUCUGAUACUGGAUGGCUUGAGUUUGGGAGAGGGAUGCGGAAUUCCAGGUGUAGCGGUGAAAUGCGUAGAUAUCUGGAGGAACACCGGUGGCGAAGGCGGCAUCCUGGACCAACACUGACGCUGAGUGAGCGAAAGCCAGGGGAGCAAACGGG